GGCCCGUGAGGAAUGAUUAAUAUUUGCUACUCUUGAUGGAUGACUCCAUCUGAUGACCACUUUCCACCAAGAUCUCUGAGGCC
rfam:Vitis vinifera, whole genome shotgun sequence of line PN40024, chromosome 6, chr6